GGAGAUGUAGCUCAGAUGGUAGAGAGCAUGCUUAGCAAGCGAGAGGUACGGGGAUCGAUACCCCCCAUUUCCA
rnacentral:tRNA from 1 species